AAACAAAUACUACCCAUACAUUAAAACUUAAAGUCACCCACUAAUCUUACCGCACGGAUCAACCCAUACAGAAAAUAGAAUACAGGGUACAACAAUAUUUUGGAGUGAAUAUUCUGAUGUUGGUAGACAGUUAGUAUCCGUUGUUCCAUAGGGCAUAUUCUAUUCUGCAUCAUAACACAAAGAAAGCCUCCAAAAGGACCACACCAUCGCAGCAAUCAAGUAUACUUGCAGAAACUCCU